GAUGAACGCUGGCGGCGUGCCUAAUACAUGCCAGUCGAGCGAACAGACGAGGAGCUUGCUCCUCUGACGUUAGCGGCGGACGGGUGAGUAACACGUGGAUAACCUACCUAUAAGACUGGGAUAACUUCGGGAAACCGGAGCUAAUACCGGAUAACAUGUUGAACCGCAUGGUUCAACAGUGAAAGACGGUUUUGCUGUCACUUAUAGAUGGAUCCGCGCCGCAUUAGCUAGUUGGUAAGGUAACGGCUUACCAAGGCAACGAUGCGUAGCCGACCUGAGAGGGUGAUCGGCCACACUGGAACUGAGACACGGUCCAGACUCCUACGGGAGGCAGCAGUAGGGAAUCUUCCGCAAUGGGCGAAAGCCUGACGGAGCAACGCCGCGUGAGUGAAGAAGGUCUUCGGAUCGUAAAACUCUGUUAUUAGGGAAGAACAAAUGUGUAAGUAGCUAUGCACGUCUUGACGGUACCUAAUCAGAAAGCCACGGCUAACUACGUG
rnacentral:rRNA from 1 species